GAUGAAGACGCAGCGAAAUGCGAUACGUAAUGUGAAUUGCAGAAUUCAGUGAAUCAUCGAAUCUUUGAACGCAUAUUGCGCUCUUUGGUAUUCCGAAGAGCAUGCUUGUUUGAGUAUCAGUAAACACCUCAAAGCUUUUGGAUUUUUUAAUCGAAAAGCUUUGGACUUGAGCAAUCCCAACACCAAUCUUUUUGAGAUCGGUGGCGGGUUGCUUGAAAUGCAGGUGCAGCUGGACAUUCUCCUGAGCUAAAAGCAUAUUCAUUUAGUCCCGUCAAACGGAUUAUUACUUUUGCUGCAGCUAACAUAAAGGGAGUUUGACCGUAUUGGCUGACUGAUGCAGGAUUUCACAAGGGUCGGCAACGAUUCUUGUUAAACUCGAUCUCAAAUCAAGUAAGACUACCCGCUGAACUUAAGCAUAUCAAUAAGCGGAGGA
rnacentral:misc_RNA from 1 species